rnacentral:rRNA from 1 species
CCUCCGUGAGGCAGCAGUGGGGGAUAUUGCACAAUGGGGGGAACCCUGAUGCAGCGACGCCGCGUGGGUGUAGGAGCUUUUCGGCGCGUAAAGCCCUAUCGGCAGGUAAGCCGAUGACGGUACCUGGCCAAUCCGCCCCGGCUCACUACGUGCCAGCCGCCACGGUAAUACGGUGGGGGCAAGCGUUAUCCGGAUUUACUGGGUGGAAGGGGGGCGCAGACGGCAAUGCAAGCCAGGAGUGAAAGCCCGGGGCCCAACCCCGGGACUGCGCUUGGAACUGCAUGGCUGGAGUACAGGAGGGGCAGGCGGAAUUCCUAGGGUAGCGGUGAAAUGCGUAGAUAUUAGGAGGAACACCGGUGGCGAAGGCGGCCUGCUGGACUGUGACUGACGUUGAGGCCCGAAGGCGUGGGGAGCAAACAGGAGUAGAUACCCUUGUAGUC